GGAAUCUGGGAGGACCAUCUCCUAAGGCUAAAUACUCUCUAGUGACCGAUAGUGAACCAGUACCGUGAGGGAAAGGUGAAAAGCACCCCGGAAGGGGAGUGAAAUAGAACCUGAAACCGUGUGCUUACAAGUAGUCAGAGCCCGUUAAUGGGUGAUGGCGUGCCUUUUGUAGAAUGAACCGGCGAGUUACGAUUUGAUGCAAGGUUAAGCAGUAAAUGUGGAGCCGUAGCGAAAGCGAGUCUGAAUAGGGCGUUUAGUAUUUGGUCGUAGACCCGAAACCAGGUGAUCUACCCUUGGUCAGGUUGAAGUUCAGGUAACACUGAAUGGAGGACCGAACCGACUUACGUUGAAAAGUGAGCGGAUGAACUGAGGGUAGCGGAGAAAUUCCAAUCGAACCUGGAGAUAGCUGGUUCUCUCCGAAAUAGCUUUAGGGCUAGCCUCAAGUGAUGAUUAUUGGAGGUAGAGCACUGUUUGGACGAGGGGCCCCUCUCGGGUUACCGAAUUCAGACAAACUCCGAAUGCCAAUUAAUUUAACUUGGGAGUCAGAACAUGGGUGAUAAGGUCCGUGUUCGAAAGGGAAACAGCCCAGACCACCAGCUAAGGUCCCAAAAUAUAUGUUAAGUGGAAAAGGAUGUGGCGUUGCCCAGACAACUAGGAUGUUGGCUUAGAAGCAGCCAUCAUUUAAAGAGUGCGUAAUAGCUCACUAGUCGAGUGACACUGCGCCGAAAAUGUACCGGGGCUAAACAUAUUACCGAAGCUGUGGAUUGUCCUUUGGACAAUGGUAGGAGAGCGUUCUAAGGGCGUUGAAGCAUGAUCGUAAGGACAUGUGGAGCGCUUAGAAGUGAGAAUGCCGGUGUGAGUAGCGAAAGACGGGUGAGAAUCCCGUCCACCGAUUGACUAAGGUUUCCAGAGGAAGGCUCGUCCGCUCUGGGUUAGUCGGGUCCUAAGCUGAGGCCGACAGGCGUAGGCGAUGGAUAACAGGUUGAUAUUCCUGUACCACCUAUAAUCGUUUUAAUCGAUGGGGGG
rnacentral:rRNA from 3 species